AUUGAACGCUGGCGGCAUGCUUUACACAUGCAAGUCGAGCGGCAGCGCGGGGGCAACCCUGGCGGCGAGCGGCGAACGGGUGAGUAAUGCAUCGGAACGUAUCCUCGAGUGGGGGAUAACCCAGCGAAAGUUGGGCUAAUACCGCAUGAGCUCUGAGGAGGAAAGCGGGGGACCUGCGAGGGCCUCGCGCUGGAGGAGCGGCCGAUGUCCGAUUAGCUAGUUGGUGGGGUAAAGGCUUACCAAGGCGACGAUCGGUAGCUGGUCUGAGAGGAUGAUCAGCCAACAUUGGAAUUAGAACAGGGCCAGGAUCCUACGGGAGGCAGCAGUGGGGAAUUUUGGACAAUGGGGGCAACCCUGAUCCAGCCAUGCCGCGUGAGUGAAGAAGGCCUUCGGGUUGUAAAGCUCUUUCGGACGGAACGAAAUGGGCGGGACUAAUACUCCUGUCUGAUGACGGUACCGUAAGAAGAAGCACCGGCUAACUACGUG
rnacentral:rRNA from 1 species